AGUGAACGCUGGCGGUAGGCCUAACACAUGCAAGUCGAACGGCAGCACAGUAAGAGCUUGCUCUUACGGGUGGCGAGUGGCGGACGGGUGAGGAAUACAUCGGAAUCUACUUUUUCGUGGGGGAUAACGUAGGGAAACUUACGCUAAUACCGCAUACGACCUACGGGUGAAAGCAGGGGAUCUUCGGACCUUGCGCGAUUGAAUGAGCCGAUGUCGGAUUAGCUAGUUGGCGGGGUAAAGGCCCACCAAGUCGACGAUCCGUAGCUGGUCGGAGAGGAUGAUCAGCCACACUGGAACUGAGACACGGUCCAGACUCCUACGGGAGGCAGCAGUGGGGAAUAUUGGACAAUGGGCGCAAGCCUGAUCCAGCCAUACCGCGUGGGUGAAGAAGGCCUUCGGGUUGUAAAGCCCUUUUGUUGGGAAAGAAAAGCAGCAGGUUAAUACCCCGCUGUUCUGACGGUACCCAAAGAAUAAGCACCGGCUAACUUCGUG
rnacentral:rRNA from 1 species